AUGUAUGCUGUGGGUAAUGCAGAAAACCUCAGCAAAAACACAGUCUGUAGGGCAACACAUAAGGUGGCACGUGCUAUUACAGAGCUGCUGAAUGCCUUUGUUGUGUUCCCUGGACACUUGCCCAUGCUGUCCAUAAAAGAGGGCUUUAAUAAUAUAGCAGUCUGGGUGAAUGAAGCCAAUUAUGUGAAUCGCAAGUCGUUCCACAGCCUCAAUGUUCAGGUUUUUGUACGACCACUCAGUCACUUUGUAUCACUGUGGUACACGUUCGGUGGAGGAACCAGACUGGAGUUUGGAAGUGACGCCCGUCCCACCCUGACGGUGCUGCCCCCCUCCAGUGAGGAGCUGCAGCAGGAGAAGGUCACAGUCCUGUGCCUGGCCAACAAGGGCUUCCCCUCAGACUGGAGUCUGGCCUGGAAGGUGGAGGGCAGCAGCAGCAGCAGCAGCUGGGAGGAGAGCAGGAGCCCCGGGGUGCUGGAGAAGGACGGCCUCUACAGCUGGAGCAGCACCCUGAGGCUCCCUGCAGACCAGUGGAGCAAGCUGGGCUCUGUGACCUGUGAGGCCACCCAGGGCUCCCAGACUCCGCUCUCAGAGACACUGAGGAGAGACCAGUGUUCCCAGUCCUGACCUGACUCACUGGGACUCUGCUACUGGUUUUACUCUGCUCCUGCUCUCUCUCUCUGCUCUCUGUAACACUGUCUCUCUCUUUUUUAUUUCACAUGUUUCAGUAACAAUAUUUACCAGCAUCUCUCAGUGUUUCAAUAUUGUCUCUGUGUUUCCAG